rnacentral:rRNA from 1 species
GACAGAGGGUGCAAACGUGGUUCGGAAUUACUGGGCGUAAAGCGCGUGUAGGCGGCUCUGCAAGUCGGGUGUGAAAUCCCAUGGCUCAACUAUGGAAGUGCACUCGAAACUGCAGGGCUAGAGUCCUGGAGAGGAAGGUGGAAUGCUUGGUGUAGAGGUGAAAUUCGUAGAUAUCAAGCGGAACACCGGUGGCGAAGGCGGCCUUCUGGACAGUGACUGACGCUGAGACGCGAAAGCGUGGGGAGCAAACAGG